rnacentral:rRNA from 1 species
GGGAAUAUUGCAAAAUGGGCGAAAGCCCGAUGCAGCAACGCCGCGUGGGCGAUGAAGGCCUUCGGGUCGUAAAGCCCUUUUUGAGGGGAUGAGUAAGGACAGUACCCUCAGAAUAAGCCUCGGCUAACUACGUGCCAGCAGCCGCGGUAAAACGUAGGAGGCGAGCGUUAUCCGGAUUUACUGGGCGUAAAGCGCGUGCAGGCGGAUUGGAGAGUUGGAUGUGAAAGCUCCCGGCUUAACUGGGAGAGGUCGUUCAAUACUUCCAGUCUUGAGUGCAGUAGAGGGAAGUGGAAUUCCGGGUGUAGUGGUGAAAUGCGUAGAUAUCCGGAGGAACACCAGUGGCGAAAGCGGCUUCCUGGACUGUAACUGACGCUCAGACGCGAAAGCUAGGGUAGCAAACG